rnacentral:rRNA from 1 species
UACGUAGGGUGCGAGCGUUGUCCGGAAUUAUUGGGCGUAAAGAGCGUGUAGGCGGUCCGGUAAGUCGGCUGUGAAAGUCCAGGGCUCAACCCUGGGAUGCCGGUCGAUACUGCCGGACUAGAGUUCGGAAGAGGCGAGUGGAAUUCCCGGUGUAGCGGUGAAAUGCGUAGAUAUCUGGAGGAAUACCGGUGGCGAAGGCGGCAUCCUGGACCAUAACUGACGCUGAGGCGCGAAAGCUAGGGGAGCAAACGGG